UACAGAGGGGGCAAGCGUUGUUCGGAAUUACUGGGCGUAAAGGGCGCGUAGGUGGCCUUCUAAGUUGAACGUGAAAUCCCUGGGCUCAACCCAGGAACUGCGUCCAAGACUGGGAGGCUUGAAUCCGGGAGAGGGAUGCGGAAUUCCCGGUGUAGAGGUGAAAUUCGUAGAUAUCGGGAGGAACACCAGUGGCGAAGGCGGAGACCUGGGCCAAUACUGACGCUGAGGUGCGAAAGCGUGGGGAGCAAACAGG
rnacentral:rRNA from 1 species